rnacentral:rRNA from 1 species
UGGGGAAUUUUGGACAAUGGGGGCAACCCUGAUCCAGCCAUUCCGCGUGAGUGAAGAAGGCCUUCGGGUUGUAAAGCUCUUUCAGCAGGAACGAAACGGCUCUCUCUAACAUAGGGAGUUAAUGACGGUACCUGAAGAAGAAGCACCGGCUAACUACGUGCCAGCAGCCGCGGUAAUACGUAGGGUGCGAGCGUUAAUCGGAAUUACUGGGCGUAAAGCGUGCGCAGGCGGCGCCAUAAGACAGAUGUGAAAUCCCCGGGCUUAACCUGGGAACUGCGUUUGUGACUGUGGUGCUCGAGUGUGGCAGAGGGGGGUGGAAUUCCACGUGUAGCAGUGAAAUGCGUAGAGAUGUGGAGGAACACCGAUGGCGAAGGCAGCCCCCUGGGUCAACACUGACGCUCAUGCACGAAAGCGUGGGGAGCAAACAGG